UACGUAGGGUGCAAGCGUUGUCCGGAAUUAUUGGGCGUAAAGGGCUCGUAGGCGGUCCAUCACGUCGGGAGUGAAAAGCUGGGGCUUAACCCCAGUCCUGCUUCCAAUACGGGUGGACUAGAGGUAGGCAGGGGAGAACGGAAUUCCUGGUGUAGCGGUGAAAUGCGUAGAGAUGGGGGAGAACACUCGUGGCGAAGGCGGCCAGCUAGACCAGUUCUGACACUGAGGCGCGACAGCGUGGGGAGCAAACAGG
rnacentral:rRNA from 1 species